rnacentral:rRNA from 1 species
UACGUAGGGUGCAAGCGUUGUCCGGAAUUAUUGGGCGUAAAGAGCUCGUAGGCGGUCUGUCGCGUCGGCUGUGAAAACUCGGGGCUCAACCCCGAGCCUGCAGUCGAUACGGGCAGACUAGAGUGCUGUAGGGGAGACUGGAAUUCCUGGUGUAGCGGUGAAAUGCGCAGAUAUCAGGAGGAACACCGGUGGCGAAGGCGGCUCGCUGGACAAGUAUUGACGCUGAGGUGCGAAAGCGUGGGGAGCAAACAGG